UCUUUUCCAGAGGAAGAAAACCCCGACGAGUCGGGGCUUGCCGGUACUCUGGGAAUAAGCAUCGGCUAACUCCGUGCCAGCAGCCGCCGGUAAUACGGAGGAUGCGAGCGUUAUCCGGAUUUAUUGGGUUUAAAGGGUGCGUAGGCGGAUUAAUAAGUCAGUGGUGAAAACUUCAGCUUAACUGGAGACUUUGCCAUUGAUACUGUUAGUCUUGAGUACGGUCAAGGUAGGCGGAAUGUGUAAUGUAGCGGUGAAAUGCUUAGAUAUUACACAGAACACCGAUUGCGAAGGCAGCUUACUGGGCCAUUACUGACGCUGAUGCACGAAAGCGUGGGGAGCGAACAGGAUUAGAUACCCUGGUAGUCCACGCCGUAAACGAUGAUCACUCGCUGUUAGCGAUACACAGUUAGCGGCUAAGCAAAAGCAUUAAGUGAUCCACCUGGGGAGUACGGCCGCAAGGCUGAAACUCAAAGGAAUUGACGGGGGCCCGCACAAGCGGAGGAACAUGUGGUUUAAUUCGAUGAUACGCGAGGAACCUUACCUGGGCUUAAAUGUAGAGUGCAUUUCGCUGAAAGGCGGAUUCCCUUCGGGGCUCUUUGCAAGGUGCUGCAUGGUUGUCGUCAGCUCGUGCCGUGAGGUGUCGGGUUAAGUCCCAUAACGAGCGCAACCCUUAUCGUUAGUUGCCAGCGGGUAAUGCCGGGAACUCUAACGAAACUGCCGGUGUAAACCGUGAGGAAGGUGGGGAUGACGUCAAAUCAGCACGGCCCUUAUGUCCAGGGCUACACACGUGUUACAAUGGCCGGUACAGAGGGCAGCUACCUGGAGACAGGAUGCGAAUCUCCAAAGCCGGUCUCAGUUCGGAUCGGAGUCUGCAACUCGACUCCGUGAAGCUGGAUUCGCUAGUAAUCGCGCAUCAGCCAUGGCGCGGUGAAUACGUUCCCGGGCCUUGUACACACCGCCCGUCAAGCCAUGGAAGUUGGGGGUACCUAAGUCCGUAACCGUAAGGAGCGGCCUAGGGAAAACUA
rnacentral:rRNA from 1 species